rnacentral:tRNA from 1 species
GCAGGUAUAGCUCAGCGGUAGAGCAUGUGCUUGUCAUGUAUGAGGUCCUGGGUUCAGUCUAGUGUCUCCA